GACGAACGCUGGCGGCGUGCUUAACACAUGCAAGUCGAACGGAAAGACCCUGCGUUUGUGGGGUGCUCGAUUGCCGAACGGGGGAGUAACACGUGUGUAUCCUGCCCUUGUCUUUCGGGGAACUUCAGGAAACUGGGGCUAAUACCGGAUAUGAUCUCCUGCUGCGUGUGGGGCGUUGGAAAGUUUCGGCGGUUGGGGAUGGACUGGCGGCUUAUCAGCUUGUUGGUGGGGUAGUGGCUGACCAAGGGUUUGACGGGUAGCCGGCCUGAGAGGGUGACCGGGCACAUUGGGCCUGCGAGACGGACCAGACGGCUACGGGAGGCAGCAGUGGAGAAUAUUACACAAUGGGCGGAAGCCUGAUGUAGCAACGCCGCGUGCGGGAUGCCGGCCUUCGGGUUGAAAACAGCUGUCGCCUGUGACGAAGCGUGAGUGACGGUACUGGGUCAAGAAGCACCGGCUAACUACGUG
rnacentral:rRNA from 1 species